rnacentral:rRNA from 1 species
AGCCUUACAGCUAGCCUACAAUAAAAAGCAACAAACAACUAUGAAUACCCCCUCAGACACUAGAACCUAAAUAAACAAACCAUUUUUCCCCCCAAGUACGGGCGACAGAAAAGGGACCAAUUGAGCGAUAGAGAAAGUACCGCAAGGGAAAGCUGAAAGAGAAGUGAAACAACUCAGCAAAGCAAUAAAAAGCAGAGAAUAAACCUCGUACCUUUUGCAUCAUGAUUUAGCUAGAACAACCUAAGCAAAGAGCACUUUAGUUUAGGACCCCGAAACCAGGCGAGCUACUCCAAGACAGCCUAACAAUAGGGCCAACCCGUCUCUGUGGCAAAAGAGUGGGAAGAGCUUCGAGUAGAGGUGACAAACCUACCGAGCCCGGUUAUAGCUGGUUGCCUGGGAAAUGAAUAGAAGUUCAGCCUCACGGCUUCUCCACUCACCUCAGUACUACUUAGUCUGACACUACAGAACCUUUGAGAGUUAAUCAAAGGAGGUACAGCUCCUUUGAUAAAAAACACAACUUUUUCAGGUGGGUAAAGAUCAUAAUCACGACAAGGCAAAAUGUUCGGGUGGGCCUAAAAGCAGCCACCCCUAUAGAAAGCGUUAAAGCUCAGACAUAAACCCAUCCUUUUAUUCCGAUAUAAUAAUCUCAACCCCCUAAAUAUACCAGGCCGUUCCACACAACUGUGGAAGUGACCAUGCUAAUAUGAGUAAUAAGAAAUUAAGAAUUUCUCCCUGCACAAGUGUAAAUCGGAACGAACCCCCACCGAAUCCUAACGGCCCCAAUCACAGAGGGAACUGAACAAUAAACAAAACAACUAGAAAAACACCCAGACAAAAACCGUUAAUUCCACACUGAUGUGCCCCCAAGGAAAGACUAAAAGAGAGAGAAGGAACUCGGCAAACAUAUUUGAAGCCUCGCCUGUUUACCAAAAACAUCGCCUCUUGCAAAAUUAAGGAAUAAGAGGUCCCGCCUGCCCUGUGACUAUAAGUUUAACGGCCGCGGUAUUUUGACCGUGCGAAGGUAGCGCAAUCACUUGUCUUUUAAAUGAAGACCUGUAUGAAUGGCACGACGAGGGCUUAACUGUCUCCUUUCUCCAGUCAAUGAAAUUGAUCUCCCCGUGCAGAAGCGGGGAUAAAGCCAUAAGACGAGAAGACCCUAUGGAGCUUUAGAUAUCAAAGCAGCUCGUGUUAAUCACCUCCAAAAAAGGAGUAAAACAAAACGAACCCUGUUUGAAUAUCUUUGGUUGGGGCGACCGCGGGGAAAUAAAUAACCCCCACGUGGACUGGGGGCACUUGCCCCUAAAACCAAGAACUACAGUUCUAGUUAACAGAAUUUCUGACCAUACAGAUCCGGCAAAGCCGAUCAACGAACCGAGUUACCCUAGGGAUAACAGCGCAAUCCCCUUCUAGAGCUCCUAUCGACAAGGGGGUUUACGACCUCGAUGUUGGAUCAGGACAUCCUAAUGGUGCAGCCGCUAUUAAGGGUUUGUUUGUUCAACAAUUAAAGUCCUACGUGAUCUGAGUUCAGACCGGAGUAAUCCAGGUCAGUUUCUAUCUAUGAUAUGCUCUUUUCUAGUACGAAAGGACCGAAAAGAAGAGGCCUAUGCUCCAGGCACGCCUCUCCCCCACUUACUGAAGACAACUAAAAUAAGUAAGGGGGCAUGCCCCUUUGCCAAAGAUAAUGGCAU